rnacentral:lncRNA from 1 species
GAGCCUCAAAGUGAAUCAGAUGAUGACCUGUCAUGUCAGCUGCCAAGCAUAUAGAAAUAAGUGGGAGCUGGGAUCAAAGAGAAAUCACUGUAGCUGAGGAGGUGAGGAGGUGAGAAGGUAAGGGGAAGUUCUGAUGAUUAGGAGGUGAAUUCUUGGCUGAGGCUUUGCCUUAUAAAUGGUAUAGUUUUAACUUGAGUAUGAAACAUAAAACAAAAACCAUCCAUUUUUUAUCAUUUAUCAUUUUUCCUUUUAAACUAUUAUCUGUUUUUUAAAAUUUUUGUUUCAGGUUUGGGGGGUACAUGUGAAAGUUUGUUACAUAGAUAAACAUGUGCCCUGGGGGUUUCGUUUAUAGAUUUUUUCAUCACCCAGGUAUUAAGCCCAAUACCCAAUAGUUAUCUUUUCUGCUCCUCUCCCUCCUCCCACCCUCCACCCUCAAGUAGAUCCCAGUGUCUAUUGUUUCUUUCUUUGUGUUCAUAAGUUCUUAUCACUUAGCUUCCACUUAUAAGCAAUAACGUGAUAUUUGUUUUUUUGUUCCUGUGUUAGUGCUAAGGACAAUAACCUCCAGCUCCAUCCAUCUACCAUUUUUCAAAAAGAAAUUUUGCCGUUAUGCAAAGAUCAAAACUGAAAUUUGGGCAAAGUGACUUUCUGAUCAUUUCACUAAGUGGAAGCAACAAUUGCCAUGAAGCAUAAUAUGAAACCUCAAUGCAGAAAUGGUGGAAUGUAAUAGCAUGUGAAAGUCAUGUUUCAACUUAUUUCUUGGAAUUUCUGGGCAGAAGUGAGAAUCCUCUCAAUAAUCAGCUCAGAAGUGACUCUCCCUCACAUGUGAUGUAGCCUGAACAACAAACUGGGAAUUUCAAGUAAUUCAUGAUUUUGAGGAAAAUUUUUUUUUGUUGUAAAAUAAAACAAAAAUCAAACCAAAACAAACAAACAAAAAACCUGAGUAGUCUAUAAUCUUUUCUUUACCACAAAUGUGCUGCAUGAUUACAAAUAAGUUAGUUAGCUUCCC